GAUGAACGCUAGCGGCAGGCUUAAUACAUGCAAGUCGAGGGGCGGCAUGAAUGUAGCAAUACAUUUGAUGGCGACCGGCAAACGGGUGCGGAACACGUACACAACCUUCCUAUAAGUGGGGAAUAGCCCAGAGAAAUUUGGAUUAAUACCCCGUAACAUAAUGAUGUGGCAUCACAUUAUUAUUAUAGCUACGGCGCUUAUUGAUGGGUGUGCGGCUGAUUAGAUAGUUGGCGGGGUAACGGCCCACCAAGUCUACGAUCAGUAGCUGAUGUGAGAGCAUGAUCAGCCACACGGGCACUGAGAAACGGGCCCGACUCCUACGGGAGGCAGCAGUAAGGAAUAUUGGUCAAUGGACGCAAGUCUGAACCAGCCAUGCCGCGUGAAGGAUUAAGGUCCUCUGGAUUGUAAACUUCUUUUAUCUGGGACGAAAAAAGGCUAUUCUUAGUCACUUGACGGUACCAGAUGAAUAAGCACCGGCUAACUCCGUGCCAGCAGCCGCCGUAA
rnacentral:rRNA from 1 species